rnacentral:rRNA from 1 species
UACGAAGGGUGCAAACGUUGCUCGGAAUUAUUGGGCGUAAAGCGCACGUAGGCGGCGCAGUAAGUCCCAUGUGAAAGCCCACGGCUUAACCGUGGAAGUGCAUGGGAAACUACUGUGCUUGAGUACUUAAGAGGAUCGCGGAAUUCCCGGUGUAGAGGUGAAAUUCGUAGAUAUCGGGAGGAACACCAGUGGCGAAGGCGGCGAUUUGGGAAGUUACUGACGCUGAGGUGCGAAAGCGUGGGGAGCAAACAGG